GUGGGGGUGGUGGUGAAAAGACAGGUGGUGGAGGAGAGUAGACAGGCGGAGGUGGUGGGGAGUGGACUGGCGGUGGAGGAGAGUGGACAGGAGGUGGCGGAGAGUGAACCGGUGGUGGUGGAGAGUGGACUGGGGGAGGAGGAGGUGGCGGGGAGUGAACCGGUGGAGGAGGUGGUGGUGGAGAGUGAACCGGUGGUGGUGGAGAGUGAACUGGUGGAGGUGGUGGUGGUGGUGGUGGAGAGUGAACCGGUGGUGGUGGAGAGUGAACUGGUGGAGGAGGUGGUGGCGGAGAGUGGACCGGUGGUGGUGGGGAAUGGACUGGUGGUGGUGGAGAGUGGACCGGCGGUGGAGGAGAGUGAACCGGGGGUGGAGGAG
rnacentral:lncRNA from 1 species